GCUGCGUUCCGCGGCAGCUAAGCGGCCGGUCUACAGGCCGGUACGGUAGCGUUACGUAUCAUAUAAAAAUAACAAAAAAAAAAAAAAAACUUUUGACCAGCGGCCGUCAAAGUUCUUUGAUGGCUGCAAUGCACGUUGGAAUGGAGCGGUUGUCGAGAGUUAGCAGCCGUGGGACAGAGUACUUGGGCUUCAUGCCGGUCGCCGAAGGUGUUAGCCCGGAGCUAGCCGUUAGCCCGGAGCUAGCCGUUAGCCCGGAGCUAGCCGUUAGCCAAACACGGAGACGGGAAGACUCGUCCGGCACAGGGGAGAAGACGGUCCGUAUUGUGGCAGUGGGCGAGGCACGGAGGACGGGCGGGAGGCAGCCGACAGCCAGCUACCAACGGCAGAGGUAUCGGCUCGAGGCAAAAACCGGACCGGGACGGCUCGAUGGCUGCCCCGGGAGAAAAGUUAAAAACCUUUUGUUGCAGCGCUGGGACGAUGGAGAAAUCCGGGUGUUCGCCGCUGACAGCGGGAGGCGGCCAACAAUCCGCUGAUGUUGGAGGAGAUGUCGGGAGAUCGCGCUGAAGCUCCUCCAUCACCUGUCCAACAUACAAAUAAAGACAUUUGACAGCAUUGGGUAGGAGGUGGAAAUUUGCAUACAAGACAUUGUUUUGUGUGGUGCCAUGUUUUGAAUUAUGCUCAGUCAAUAAUGACUUACAUGUCCAAUGUCCUCUGGAAUUUUCUUGUGUCUGUCCUCCUCGCAAAAAGAAUCAAAUUCCAAAUCCAGGAGCUGAGAGACGGACUCACAGUUUGAGUUUUCUUCUUACACAAAGAUCGUAGGGUUCUGUAGUGCUCGGCCAUAGUUGCUGGACUGUCAGUGUCUGGAGCGUCAAUGCCUGCGGGCAUCUUAGCUGAAGGACAGAAAUAUACAUAAUUAAACACAUGGCAUUAAUUCAUAGAAAUUAGUAACUCUAGAAAGAAUAUGGUAGCAAUUAGUUUGAGUCUUCCAGUUUAUUAGUCCUCCAAACAAAAUAAGUGUAAAAUAUGAACACCACACAAUGGUAAAUUUGUAAAUGUUGGAACUCACGUCUGGCAUUGCUGCCUGAGUCCGGGGUGCUAGUCCCGUCAGAGGGGCAGUCUUAAAUGCUUGAAUGCUGCCCCCCUUUUGAGGGGAGAUCCAGAAUGACUGUUGAGUCA
ensembl:lncRNA